GACGAACGCUGGCGGCGUGCCUAAUACAUGCAAGUCGAACGCUGAAGGAGGAUCUUGCUUCUCCGGAUGAGUUGCGAACGGGUGAGUAACGCGUAGGUAACCUGCCUGGUAGAGGGGGAUAACUCUUGGAAACGAUAGCUAAUACCGCAUAACAGUAGAUAUCGCAUGAUAUCUGCUUGAAAGGUGCAAUUGCAUCACUACCAGAUGGACCUGCGUUGUAUUAGCUAGUUGGUGAGGUAACGGCUCACCAAGGCGAGGAUACAUAGCCGACCUGAGAGGGUGAGCGGCCACACUGGGACUGGGACACGGCCCAGACGCCUACGGGAGGCAGCAGUAGGGAAUCUUCGGCAAUGGACGGAAGUCUGACCGAGCAACGACGCGUGAGUGAAGAAGGUUGUCGGAUCGUAAAGCGCUGUUGUAAGAGAAGAACGAGUGUGGGAGUGGGAAGUUCACACUGUGACGGUAUCUUACCAGAAAGGGACGGCUAACUACGUG
rnacentral:rRNA from 1 species